UGGGGAAUAUUGCACAAUGGGCGAAAGCCUGAUGCAGCAACGCCGCGUGAGUGAUGAAGGCCUUCGGGUUGUAAAGCUCUGUCUUUUGGGACGAUAAUGACGGUACCAAAGGAGGAAGCCACGGCUAACUACGUGCCAGCAGCCGCGGUAAUACGUAGGUGGCAAGCGUUGUCCGGAUUUACUGGGCGUAAAAGGAUGCGUAGGCGGAUUUUUAAGUGAGAUGUGAAAUACCCGGGCUUAACUUGGGUGCUGCAUUUCAAACUGGGAAUCUAGAGUGCGGGAGAGGAGAAUGGAAUUCCUAGUGUAGCGGUGAAAUGCGUAGAGAUUAGGAAGAACACCAGUGGCGAAAGGCGAUUCUCUGGACCGUAACUGACGCUGAGGCAUGAAAGCGUGGGUAGCAAACAGGAUUAGAUACCCUGGUAGUCCACGCCGUAAACGAUGAGUACUAGGUGUAGGAGGUAUCGACCCCUUCUGUGCCGCAGUUAACACAAUAAGUACUCCGCCUGGGAAGUACGAUCGCAAGAUUAAAAACUU
rnacentral:rRNA from 1 species